rnacentral:tRNA from 1 species
CGCGGGGUAGAGCAGUCGGCAGCUCGUCAGGCUCAUAACCUGAAGGUCGCAGGUUCGAAUCCUGCCCCCGCCACCA